GGAUCGAAGGAAUCGGUCCGCCGUCAAGGCGUGAACUGGUUUCUUCAUCCUCUUCUAUGGGAUACUCACCUUUGCUCUUAACUGGGUGAAGGUAAAAAGCGGUAGUGGCCGGGGCAACUCGACCAUUAUCGUGGGGUUCCCAUUCAUUUACUUUGAAUAAAUUAGAGUGUUCAAAGCAGGCAUAAAGGGGCCUUGAAUACAUUAGCAUGGGAUAAUAGAACAGGAUUUGUGUCCUCGUUUUGUUGGUUUCUAGGACAUGAAUA
rnacentral:rRNA from 1 species